rnacentral:rRNA from 1 species
AUUCCUUUGAUUUUGGGGAAGAUAUAAAGCGAGCGGCACUUAUAAUACAUGCUAAGGGAACGGAAAAUAUGGGAUCUCAUGUAAGUACGUCCUAUACAGGUGAGUAAUGUUCUGGAACUAACCAAUUGGAUGGGAAUAGAAUUCCCAUAAUAAAUCUGAUCCCCCGGCGGCAUCUCCGAUGCCGCUGGGGGGUCAUGAUAUGGAACCUGUUGGAAUCUAGUCGAUAGGGAUAUAGGACCGACAUAGUCGGAUGAAUAUUAGAUCACAGCAGCCAGGGGCGGCCGCCCCCGGCGAAUGUGGUCGACGAAAACUCAAGAAAAUCCCGCCUGAAGAGUACGAUCGCAAGAUUAAAAUUCAAAAAAUUUGGCGGUUCACUAAACCAAUUAGAGGAGCGUGUAGUUUAAUUCGAUAAUCCGCGAUUAACCUUACCAAAACUUGAAUAAUUCAAAAUAGGGAUAUCUUCGGAUAUCCCGAUAUAGGACCGACGUGGAUAUCCGCGCCACCUAAGUGGCCUAGACUUAGAUAUCCACGUCGGUCCCAUUAACGGUUAUAGAUGACUAUUAAUUACAGGUAUUGCAUGGCCGUCGUCAGUUCGUGUUGUGAAAGAAAUAGAACGAACUUAACCCUUAAUCGUUAUUAUAGAACGGCCCCACGGGGUCCUUUUACGAUAUUAAGGAUGACGUCAGGUCCUUAUGAUCCUAAUGUUUUGGGCUACAUAUGCGCUACAAUUUUUUAUACAAAGAGAAACUUAAAUUGAAAGAGUAAACUCUAAAGUAAAAAUUCGGAUYGCCCCUUGAAAUUGGGGCCUGAAGUUGGAUUUAAUAGUAAUCGGAAAGUAGAGCGUUCUGGUGAAUACGGCUCUAGUGUUCGUACAAAUCGCCCGUCACCUCCACCAAGUAAAUAAUCCCAAAGUGUCAAGCUAGAAUUAAAGUAAUGGGGCUAAAUAUUUAAUAUCGCUAAAGCCAGCGGCGUCUUACGACGUGCCACCUAAGUGGCCUAGACUUAGAUAUCUUUAAUUCCCUAGACAGGCUUGAUAUGACGGAAAGUUUAUGAGGUUGAGGAAGUCGUAACAUAGCGAGGGUAUUGGAAAAUGUCCUCGGAUUAAU